AUGGAGAGACAAAAAACUGUAAUGAAGGAGAUAACUCAUGGUGCCUGUAACUAUCUCCUAAAACCCGCUCGCAUCGAGGAGCUUUGGAAUAUCUGGCAGCAUGUUGUUUGGUCUGUUGAACUAUAUAGAAAAUUCAUCUCUGCUCUCAACCAUCUUGGAAUUGACAAAGGUGUGCCAAAAAGGAUACUAAUGUUGAGAAACUCACUAGGGAAAAUGUUGCAAGUCGUCUACAGGAUCACUUUAUAUCAUGUUGGACCACCUUGGAAUUCGUAG
rnacentral:rRNA from 1 species